rnacentral:tRNA from 1 species
CCAUUGCUAAGUUGGUAGAGCACAAGACUCUUAACCUUGUGGACGUGGGUUCAAGCCCCAUGGUGGG